AUGCUUUCAAACCAACACACAGAUCAGAUCCCUGGCUGCAGCACACUGACUAAGGAUGAUGAAGAUGUCAGGAAUAAUCACACUUUGCUGUGUAGUUCUGUUCUUUGCUCUGACUUCCGUGUCGGCAGUACAAAGGCUGGAUUCAAUCGAUGAUUUGAAGAGAAUCAACUUUGGCCAAUCGGUGCCCAAACACAUUCUUGUGCUGCUCUACUGGUUUGCCAACACAGUCAACAUCGACACUUACACUGUCAUAAGACUUAACUUUGACCCAAACAGUAGAGCUUAUGGCUCACAUUAUUAUGGCAACCAUGAGGGUCUGUUGGAUCCACUGCCUCGGGGACAUGGAUACACGUACUUCACUGUUGGCAGUCUCAAUCAAGAAGCAUCGUCCGUGCAACUUCCACAUUAUGUUGUCAAUCCCCCAAGUAGGGAAUAUGUGGGAAAUAACGGGCAGGAUCAUAAUCCGUGUCAGGGAUCAGAUAAUAGACCAAGUGUAUAUCACACAGCAUACUGGAGGUCAGAAUGUAUAUGAUCCAGAUUACACCUACCAAAUAACUACCAACCUCCUGAGACAGAUCAGAGAGUUUUCUGUGGGAGAAAACCAACAAUCACUGACCCGACUCAGAAACAUCCAUGGAAGCAACGCUGAUGUUUCCAAUAUCAUAAAAACUUGGAGAAACCUUGCUGGCCUUGGACUGCUGCUGUUUAUUGUGAUCCAGGAGGGACAAUCAUCUUAUCCACACUAAACACCACAAAGCUACAACAGACCCGAAUACAACUCCAGACCAGAAAACAGCAACAAUUUUUGGGGUAUAUGUGUACGGGUAAUUGGCUUUAUUCUUUUGGUUAUGGUAGUUGUGGUGGGCUUUCUUAUUCUUUUAAGUGAGGCAAAUAGAUUACAAAAGGGAAGAUGAGGGAGAUGAUAUCGUCUAAAUCAAGGUGUGGGGGUGUUUUUCAAAGAUAUUUGGGACCAUAAAGUCAGCAAGACUCCCAAAAGAAUAAUCAGACAGUAACACCACCUCAGGAAGAUGGCCAGGGUUGUUCUGUUGUAGGCUUUGUUUACCUAUAUAUGUUUAAUUUAGCUGGUAGUAUAUUGUGUUUUAUGUAAAUGGUGUUCAGUUCAGAUUGUGUUGUAGUCUUGGUAUGACAUGCAAAUAACAAAUAAAAAAAAAUCAAAUUAUGGACGAGCACAAAAUCAAAAUAGUAGGAGGCUGAUUCAUUAUAUUAUUGUUCAUUUGUAAAAAGUUGGGACAUAUGUAAUCAAAUUCAGAAUUAAUGUUUAUAUGCCAAAAUUAGAUUUCUUGUCUCCGUCUUGUCUCAUUCAAUUUAAUGUAAGUCUCAAAGGAUUUGUGAAUAAUUGCAUUAUUUUUCCUCUUUUUACAGUCCAAAUCUUUGGGAAAUUUGGGUUGGGAUCAGGAGUUUUAUAGCUCUAUUUUUCUAAAUUGUAUUGAAACUAUUGCAUCUUUUAAUGCACUGUUCUGGCAUGGUCAUAAAUCUUCAGGUAUCCUUCAGGUCAUGUUCCAGCAUGUCUAAUGUAAUAGUUAUGAGAUGAAGGGAAUGUAAAAUUGCACUGAUAGAUAAAUGACACGGAUAAGUAAAAGGCUCUUUGGUUUAGGACAGAUAACAGAAUGAUGAGGUGUUUUCUGAUAAUGUAUUAGCUUUUAUACAGGAGUGUUUUUCAUUCAUGGUUUUGUAUUUCUGCAGUUUUGUGUGUUUAUUAAACUGGAGUUUUUCAUUGAGA